UGGGGAAUUUUCCGCAAUGGGCGCAAGCCUGACGGAGCAACGCCGCGUGCGGGAGGACGGUUUGUGGACUGUAAACCGCUUUUAAUAGGGAAGAAUAACUGACGGUACCUAUUGAAUAAGCAUCGGCUAACUCCGUGCCAGCAGCCGCGGUAAUACGGAGGAUGCAAGCGUUAUCCGGAAUUAUUGGGCGUAAAGCGUCCGCAGGUGGUUAAUCAAGUCAGCUGUCAAAUAUUCGGGCUUAACCCGGAGGGUGCGGUUGAAACUGAUUGACUAGAGUACGGUAGGGGUAGAGGGAAUUCCUAGUGUAGCGGUGAAAUGCGUAGAUAUUAGGAAGAACACCAGUGGCGAAGGCGCUCUACUGGGCCUGUACUGACACUGAGGGACGAAAGCUAGGGGAGCGAAAGGGAUUAGAUACCCCCGUAGUCC
rnacentral:rRNA from 1 species